rnacentral:lncRNA from 1 species
CCUGAGUAGGUUUUGGCAGCCUGUGUAUUUGUCACAUCGAAGGCUCGUUAUUUACUAAAGUAUCUGUAUGAACAUGAUCUAGUUUGCACUUGUGAGUGGUGUUGGUAGAGGGGACAUAUACGAAGAUUUAAUUGUUGGUAAUUAUAGUGAGAACAGAGGGGACUUGAAAUUGCUGAACUGUCUCAUGCCUGGAGGACUCUGGAAACAUUGUGUGGCAUGCAGACGGCCAUCCUGCACAUCACUGUCCUUACAGGCUGCCACUCCCA